rnacentral:rRNA from 1 species
AGUGAACGCUGGCGGCAGGCCUAACACAUGCAAGUCGAACGGCAGCACAGAGGAGCUUGCUCCUUGGGUGGCGAGUGGCGGACGGGUGAGGAAUACAUCGGAAUCUGCCCAGUCGUGGGGGAUAACAUAGGGAAACUUAUGCUAAUACCGCAUACGACCUACGGGUGAAAGCGGGGGAUCGCAAGACCUCGCGCGAUUGGAUGAGCCGAUGUCCGAUUAGCUAGUUGGCGGGUAAUGGCCCACCAAGGCGACGAUCGGUAGCUGGUCUGAGAGGAUGAUCAGCCACACUGGAACUGAGACACGGUCCAGACUCCUACGGGAGGCAGCAGUGGGGAAUAUUGGACAAUGGGCGCAAGCCUGAUCCAGCCAUGCCGCGUGGGUGAAGAAGGCCU